rnacentral:rRNA from 1 species
CUGGAGGUAUCAGAAGUGCGAAUGCUGACAUAAGUAACGAUAAAGCGGGUGAAAAGCCCGCUCGCCGGAAGACCAAGGGUUCCUGUCCAACGUUAAUCGGGGCAGGGUGAGUCGACCCCUAAGGCGAGGCCGAAAGGCGUAGUCGAUGGGAAACAGGUUAAUAUUCCUGUACUUGGUGUUACUGCGAAGGGGGGACGGAGAAGGCUAUGUUGGCCGGGCGACGGUUGUCCCGGUUUAAGCGUGUAGGCUGGUUUUCCAGGCAAAUCCGGAAAAUCAAGGCUGAGGCGUGAUGACGAGGCACUACGGUGCUGAAGCAACAAAUGCCCUGCUUCCAGGAAAAGCCUCUAAGCAUCAGGUAACAUCAAAUCGUACCCCAAACCGACACAGGUGGUCAGGUAGAGAAUACCAAGGCGCUUGAGAGAACUCGGGUGAAGGAACUAGGCAAAAUGGUGCCGUAACUUCGGGAGAAGGCACGCUGAUAUGUAGGUGAAGUCCCUCGCGGAUGGAGCUGAAAUCAGUCGAAGAUACCAGCUGGCUGCAACUGUUUAUUAAAAACACAGCACUGUGCAAACACGAAAGUGGACGUAUACGGUGUGACGCCUGCCCGGUGCCGGAAGGUUAAUUGAUGGGGUUAGCGCAAGCGAAGCUCUUGAUCGAAGCCCCGGUAAACGGCGGCCGUAACUAUAACGGUCCUAAGGUAGCGAAAUUCCUUGUCGGGUAAGUUCCGACCUGCACGAAUGGCGUAAUGAUGGCCAGGCUGUCUCCACCCGAGACUCAGUGAAAUUGAACUCGCUGUGAAGAUGCAGUGUACCCGCGGCAAGACGGAAAGACCCCGUGAACCUUUACUAUAGCUUGACACUGAACAUUGAGCCUUGAUGUGUAGGAUAGGUGGGAGGCUUUGAAGUGUGGACGCCAGUCUGCAUGGAGCCGACCUUGAAAUACCACCCUUUAAUGUUUGAUGUUCUAACGUUGACCCGUAAUCCGGGUUGCGGACAGUGUCUGGUGGGUAGUUUGACUGGGGCGGUCUCCUCCUAAAGAGUAACGGAGGAGCACGAAGGUUGGCUAAUCCUGGUCGGACAUCAGGAGGUUAGUGCAAUGGCAUAAGCCAGCUUGACUGCGAGCGUGACGGCGCGAGCAGGUGCGAAAGCAGGUCAUAGUGAUCCGGUGGUUCUGAAUGGAAGGGCCAUCGCUCAACGGAUAAAAGGUACUCCGGGGAUAACAGGCUGAUACCGCCCAAGAGUUCAUAUCGACGGCGGUGUUUGGCACCUCGAUGUCGGCUCAUCACAUCCUGGGGCUGAAGUAGGUCCCAAGGGUAUGGCUGUUCGCCAUUUAAAGUGGUACGCGAGCUGGGUUUAGAACGUCGUGAGACAGUUCGGUCCCUAUCUGCCGUGGGCGCUGGAGAACUGAGGGGGGCUGCUCCUAGUACGAGAGGACCGGAGUGGACGCAUCACUGGUGUUCGGGUUGUCAUGCCAAUGGCACUGCCCGGUAGCUAAAUGCGGAAGAGAUAAGUGCUGAAAGCAUCUAAGCACGAAACUUGCCCCGAGAUGAGUUCUCCCUGACUCCUUGAGAGUCCUGAAGGAACGUUGAAGACGACGACGUUGAUAGGCCGGGUGUGUAAGCGCAGCGAUGCGUUGAGCUAACCGGUACUAAUGAACCGUGAGGCUUAACCUU